GACGAACGCUGGCGGCGUGCUUAACACAUGCAAGUCGAACGGAAAGGCCCUGCUUUUGUGGGGUGCUCGAGUGGCGAACGGGUGAGUAACACGUGGGUAACCUGCCCUUGACUUUGGGAUAACUUCAGGAAACUGGGGCUAAUACCGGAUAGGAGCUCCUGCUGCAUGGUGGGGGUUGGAAAGUUUCGGCGGUUGGGGAUGGACUCGCGGCUUAUCAGCUUGUUGGUGGGGUAGUGGCUUACCAAGGCUUUGACGGGUAGCCGGCCUGAGAGGGUGACCGGCCACAUUGGGACUGAGAUACGGCCCAGACUCCUACGGGAGGCAGCAGUGGGGAAUAUUGCACAAUGGGCGGAAGCCUGAUGCAGCAACGCCGCGUGCGGGAUGACGGCCUUCGGGUUGUAAACCGCUUUCGCCUGUGACGAAGCGUGAGUGACGGAAAUGGGUAAAGAAGCACCGGCUAACUACGUG
rnacentral:rRNA from 1 species